rnacentral:rRNA from 1 species
UACGAAGGGGGCUAGCGUUGUUCGGAAUCACUGGGCGUAAAGGGCGCGUAGGCGGCCGCUCAAGUCGGGGGUGAAAGCCUGAGGCUCAACCUCAGAAUUGCCUUCGAUACUGGAGAUCUUGAGACCGGAAGAGGUGAGUGGAACUGCGAGUGUAGAGGUGAAAUUCGUAGAUAUUCGCAAGAACACCAGUGGCGAAGGCGGGUCUCUGGACAGUUCCUGACACUGAGACACGAAGGCCAGGAGAGCAAACGGG